ACGAACGCUGGCGGCGUGCCUAAUACAUGCAAGUCGAACGCUUCUUUCCUCCCGAGUGCUUGCACUCAAUUGGAAAGAGGAGUGGCGGACGGGUGAGUAACACGUGGGUAACCUACCCAUCAGAGGGGGAUAACACUUGGAAACAGGUGCUAAUACCGCAUAACAGUUUAUGCCGCAUGGCAUAAGAGUGAAAGGCGCUUUCGGGUGUCGCUGAUGGAUGGACCCGCGGUGCAUUAGCUAGUUGGUGAGGUAACGGCUCACCAAGGCCACGAUGCAUAGCCGACCUGAGAGGGUGAUCGGCCACACUGGGACUGAGACACGGCCCAGACUCCUACGGGAGGCAGCAGUAGGGAAUCUUCGGCAAUGGACGAAAGUCUGACCGAGCAACGCCGCGUGAGUGAAGAAGGUUUUCGGAUCGUAAAACUCUGCUGUUAGAGAAGAACAAGGACGUUAGUAACUGAACGUCCCCUGACGGUAUCUAACCAGAAAGCCACGGCUAACUACGUG
rnacentral:rRNA from 1 species